rnacentral:rRNA from 1 species
CAGUCGCCACGGUAAUACGUAGGGUGCAAGCGUUAAUCGGAAUUACUGGGCGUAAAGCGUGCGCAGGCGGUUAUAUAAGACAGAUGUGAAAUCCCCGGGCUCAACCUGGGAACUGCAUUUGUGACUGUAUAGCUAGAGUACGGCAGAGGGGGAUGGAAUUCCGCGUGUAGCAGUGAAAUGCGUAGAUAUGCGGAGGAACACCGAUGGCGAAGGCAAUCCCCUGGGCCUGUACUGACGCUCAUGCACGAAAGCGUGGGGAGCAAACAGGAUUAGAUACCCCCGUAGUCCUGUCUCUUAUACC